rnacentral:rRNA from 1 species
GGCCCGGCACAAGCGGUGGAGUAUGUGGUUUAAUUCGAUGCAACGCGCAGAACCUUACCAGCCCUUGACAUGUGGAGUUUGGUUAUCAGAGAUGAUUUCCUUCAGUUCGGCUGGCUCCAACACAGGUGCUGCAUGGCUGUCGUCAGCUCGUGUCGUGAGAUGUUGGGUUAAGUCCCGCAACGAGCGCAACCCACGUCUUUAGUUGCCAGCAUUUAGUUGGGCACUCUAGAGAGACUGCCGGUGAUAAACCGGAGGAAGGUGUGGAUGACGUCAAGUCAUCAUGCCCCUUACAUCCUGGGGCUACACACGUACUACAAUGCUACGGACAAAGGGCAGCAAGUUCGCGAGGACAAGCAAAUCCCAUAAACCGUGGCUCAGUUCAGAUCGUAGGCUGCAACUCGCCUACGUGAAGGCGGAAUCGCUAGUAAUCG